CAAUAAUAUUAAUAUCAAAUACAAAUUAAAUAUAAUAAAUAUAUAAUUAUAAUUGUAAAUAUAUGUUUGUUAAAAAUAGGAAUGAUAAAUGUGGGAAAAGACCACUUCUCUGGCACAUGAACAGCUUUGGGUUUCAUCUUCAGCACAGAAUAUAUAUGCAUAUAACAUAUCCCUUCCCAAUGCUUCCAAGUCUUGUCAGAUAGUUUGAAGUCCACAGGUUUUUUUUUUGUUUGUUUGUUUUUGCUUUUUUGUUUUUUUGUUUUUUUUUUUUACAUUUUAUCCUGAGCAAAUAAUGUGAGCUUCAGGAUAAAAUGUAAUAAAUAGUCUUUGUGGCUAUGAGAUACAAUAUUAUACAGUAACUGAGAUUACAUUAACAAUCAAAUUUUAUAUGGAUUUCUUUUCUUUGGUAAGAUAAUUGUUAAAAUGAAGGUUGAGGGCCCACUGUAUUGGUGCCAAGCAAUAAAAGGGGGUUGAGUUUCAUGACCUCAAGUAUAGAGAGCAAGCCGUCACUGCUUACGGAGGAAGGAAUCACAGAAUCUGUUUCAUUGAAAAUUACACAAUAGUCACACAGCAGCUAGACAGACAGUGUGGGAGCAAAAUACACAGACUGAACCAGCGCACUUGGGUUCAGUCUUGUAGGUUGUUGUCCAGUCCAGGCGCCCACCUUUUCAUUUUUUACAUACAGAGAAAGAACUCUCUAAUGAUUUAAAAUGACUUUGUCCUUUAUAAUGUAGUGCUUGCAGCAGUUGAAGAAUCUACCAUCACUAAAAGUAAGGACUGAAGAGAACUCUAAUAUCUUUGACCACCACUGCAGCAAUUCAUUACCUCUUUCUUCCUUUUGUUUGUUUUUUCUCAUACAAUAUAUCCUGACAGUAACCUCUGCUCCCUCCCCUCCCUCCAUUCUUCCCAGCACUUCUGCUCUUUCCUUUGUUCCCCAAGUCCACUGCUCCUUCCCUUCCCUUUAGAAAAAAAGCAUGUCUUCCAGGGAUAUCAACCAAAUAUGCCAUAACAAGUUGCAAUAAGACUAGGCACAAACCCACAUAUCAAGGCUGGACAGGCAAGUUAGUAUGAGGAAAACGGACCCAAGAGCAGGCAAAAUAGUCAGAGAUACUCCCCACCCCCACUGCAAAGAAUCCCACAGGAACCACAAGCUAAACAAUCAGGACAUACAUACAAAAGUACUAGCUCAGACCCUGUGAUUGCCGCUUCAGUCUCUCUGAACCUCUAUAAGCCCCACUUAGUUGAUUGUGUGGACUGUCUUCUUUCUUUUAAGUGGUCACUAUCAUUCCCAUGCCUAGUGGUGCUCAGUAAAGCAGUUGUCUCAUUUUGGGACACUGUUAGGAACUAUGAGUUGCAGAGGAGGCCUUUGAUAACACCUAGAAAUAUUUUUGAUUGCCAUGAUUAGGGGAUGGGCUACUAUUGGAAUUUAGCAAUAAGAGGCACGGGGUGCUUAUAAAUGUCUUACAACAUAGAAGAUAUGAUCCGCACCCAGCAAUAAAGUGUAUUCAGGGCCAAAUGUCAGUAGUUUCCAGUAUUAUAUCAGAAGACAAGUGGAAACUAUCUUCUCUCUUUCUGUUUCCUAUUUCUAUCUUAAAUGUAAAACUUGUAGUCCUAAUUUUCACUUCCUAUAGUAGACUUCUGCCCUGCAGACAGCUCCCAGCACUAAGGCAGGUGCUCAGGAAAUGGUGAUUUAUUUUCAGUCCUUUGUCAACUAUCAUUAAGGUAAAGUCCAGUUUGGUACACACGGCAAACUAUUUGACUCCCGUAAAUUCUUUCUGGGGAUACUUUCCAUUGUACAACAGAAGGCCAACAGAAAAAGAAACAGAGUUCUCUCUCUCUUGUAUAUGUUCUUAAUUUCUUCUAUUUUUUUAAGAUUAUAAAAGAUUAUACGAUUUCCUCUUCCCCUUCCAUUUCCUCGCUCCAAAUCCUUCAAUAUGCCUUUCCAUUUUUCCUCUCUUGAAAAUAUAUACCUUUGUAUUUUAUUAAGUUGUUGUUACAUGCAUAUAUAAAUAAAUAGAUAUGCCUAAGAAUGACAUGUUCGGUCUGUAUAAUCUUAAUUGUAUGUAUGCUUGCAGGACUGAGCAUUUGGUGUUGGAUAACUAAUUGAUGUGCUUUUUCUUUCCUGGGGAGACUAUGUCUCCUCCCUCACCAUUUCUAUAGUUCCUUGUGUAGAGUUGAUGCCUCUUUGUCCUGUCUACUUUGGCAUAGCUAUUGUUGUCCUGGGUCACCUUGUGUUUAGGAGUUUAUGUUAGUGAGGCUUUACGGGUGUUAGCAUCUGACAUUGCUAGGAGACACAAUUCCCAGCAACUCCUCUUAUCUUCCUGUUCUUCUGGCCCUGUCUUCUGCAAUAUUCCCUGAGCUUUAGGUAUGGGAGUUGUUUACUUCACUUAAAGAGUGG
rnacentral:lncRNA from 1 species